GUGACCUGAAACUGUGUUAAAGCAGCUCCCCGAUUCAGUGGCUCUUACCUCGCUGCCUGUGUGGCCUGUAACUGAUGAUCCAGAGACUGACUGUUUACGCCACUAACGAUCUCCUCCACAGUCCAAUGCUGGAACGACUGCAGAGUGUAAAAAAAAAAACGGAGCGUGAUGACCCAGUGGCCUAAUGGAUAAGGCAUCAGCCUCCGGAGCUGGGGAUUGUGGGUUCGAGUCCCAUCUGGGUCGGAAACAUCACUCAUCCUACGUUUUGAGCUCCAAGAAAAGAAAACACCUUGUGAAAA